GCGUGGAGACAGGUGGUGCAUGGCUGUCGUCAGCUCGUGUCGUGAGAUGUUGGGUUAAGUCCCGCAACGAGCGCAACCCUCACCCCUUGUUGCCAUCAGGUCAUGCUGGGCACUCUAGGGGAACUGCCCCGGUCAACGGGGAGGAAGGCGGGGAUGACGUCAAGUCAUCAUGCCCCUUACGUCCUGGGCUACACACGUGCUACAAUGGCCCGUACAAAGGGAUGCAACGCCGCGAGGCAGAGCCAAACCCAAAAAGCCGGUCUAAGUUCAGAUUGGAGUCUGCAACUCGACUCCAUGAAGGAGGAAUCGCUAGUAAUCGCGUAUCAGCACGACGCGGUGAAUACGUUCCCGGGCCUUGUACACACCGCCCGUCACACCACGAAAGCCAGCUGUACUCGAAGUCGCUG
rnacentral:rRNA from 1 species